CCUACGGGUGGCAGCAGUCGAGAAUCAUUCACAAUGGGGGAAACCCUGAUGGUGCGACGCCGCGUGGGGGAAUGAAGGUCUUCGGAUUGUAAACCCCUGUCAUGUGGGAGCAAAUUAAAAAGAUAGUACCACAAGAGGAAGAGACGGCUAACUCUGUGCCAGCAGCCGCGGUAAUACAGAGGUCUCAAGCGUUGUUCGGAAUCACUGGGCGUAAGGCGUGCGUAGGCUGUUUCGUAAGUCGUGUGUGAAAGGCGCGGGCUCAACCCGCGGACGGCAUAUGAUACUGCGAGACUAGAGUAAUGGAGGGGGAACCGGAAUUCUCGGUGUAGCAGUGAAAUGCGUAGAUAUCGAGAGGAACACUCGUGGCGAAGGCGGGUUCCUGGACAGUAACUGACGCUGAGGCACGAAGGCCAGGGGAGCGAAAGGGAUUAGAUACCCUGGUAGUC
rnacentral:rRNA from 1 species